UAGCUCAGUCGAUAAAGAAUCUGCCUGCAAUGCAGGGGACCCAGGUUCAAUUCCUGG
rnacentral:tRNA from 1 species